AUAAUAGUUCUGUUAAAAAAUUGUAAAGAUCACAUUAUUGCAGUUAUAUUUCUGUCCGAUUUACACAGCGUACACUAUCUAGCAUUGAUAAAGAAGACAGGUUCCCAAAAAGGUUCAUCAGGUUUUUUAAUCAAAGCUUGUUUUGACAAGAUCUCAUCACUGACAGACAGCCCCCGUCGUGCAUCGGCAGAUACAUGCAUUUCACAUUGAGAAGAGGAAACACGGAAAAACUGUCAAUUUUUUUAUGUGUCAUUUGACAAAAAUGCCAAAACCUAUAACAACAACAUAGACGGAAUGUACAGAAGUCUUGUUUGUUAGAGAAAAGUUACGAAAAGAAGCUAAACUUUGACAAGUACGAUUGCUGUCACAGUGUCGGAAUGAAUAACCCGACUUGACCCAGAUAUGAGACAGCCGAAACCAGGAAUGACAAGAGAACCGGUUACAGUUUAAUCCGGACAACAAGUUGAAUUAACAUCGUGUGUGAUUUGAGACAAGUGUCACUGAUGGGAAACAUGUGCAUGUUGGAUUUCAGGAGGAUUUGUCAAACGCGGAGUGGACACAGUCAGAUGACGGGAGUUUGUUGAUAUUUUGAUGUGAUUCAUAAUGGUCGAAUACCUGUUGAUAGACAAACACGGUAUCUGGAGACUUGGUGCUAAGCUGUCCGCAUUCACGGAGUUCAUUUAGUUCAAUAUCGGACACAGGAUCAGCUCGCUGGGUUAUCGAUGUCAUCAUCGUUCACAAAGGCAAACCUGUCUAUACAAAGUCCGGUUUUUGGAUU
rnacentral:lncRNA from 1 species